AAGUCUGUAAGUUCUCGAUGAGGUUUUUGCUACGUCGUGCAAAAAGCAAUGCAUGCAUUCCAAAAAGUUUUGCCUGGUUAACAUAUUUAUUUUAGGAAAAAUAUUUAAUUACUAUGCACUUAAAUGACUUAUAAACCCAAAUUGAUUGUAGUCCUGCAACUUUUUUUCUUAUGUAGUUGUUAAAUGAUUCACUUGGCCUUUAGUUGAAGGAUUUACAACACUGAAAUGAGGUCGGACUGAAUGUUUGCAAGCACAGGAUUUAUCCUCCGUACUGUCCUGCAUAAUUCUGAACCGUAUUUUGUGGGUAAUUAUUUUAGCUGUUGAUAUUAAGCGGAUGACUGCAUGGUCUUUUUCUGUCAUACCGUGAGUCUGGGGCAAAGUCUCAACAGAGUUGUGAACUAUGUGUUAGAUAGAUAGACUGACUGAGGAGGAAUACUUGAUACUCCAUCAUAUUAGCAAGAACACAUAAAGAAUCAUUAUGUUAUUGCAAAAUUACACAAAUAUUGUGUGAUAUCAGGCUGUGUUUUGGACGGGGUUUGUUGAAUGAGCUUCAGUGGCGUUAGUUUCAAUGUUAGUUUCACUGUAUAAAUCCUGUAAUAGCUAUUAUAAGGGAUGAUUUGUAUAAAAUUUUAAAAAGGGGAAAUAUACUUGACCAACAGUUCCUAUAAUAAUGCACUAAAAUAGAAAGGCCUUACUUAAUUAAUAGUUAUCUAAAUGGCAUUUUACACAUUAUGCCAGCAGCUAACUUUUCUCACAAUCUCCUUCAAUUGUAGAAAUGGCAUGUGGAGUGGUUUUAUGACGGAUGGAUGCAGUUGUUUAGGCUUCAAAAACAGGAGCACCGUUCACUGCCAUUAUACAGCUUGUAACGCUCUCCUGACAAACUGGCAUUUGUCUUUAAAACCAGUCUGAAAAGGAUGGGCAUCACGACUGGCCCACCCCGGUGAACAGGUCUGAAACUGAAGCACACAAGAACUAUACCACCAGGAAAAAUUAUGUGAUUUGACAGAUCUUCAAUCAACCCUUAUAAAUAUGCACUGCAAUGCUUAUUAUAGUGUCCAUCAAAUACCACUGGUAUAAAGCCACUGUAAAAUAAUAUGGAUCUACUCCACUCUUUAAUCUUAAAAAAAGGGUUUUAUGACUCAAACAGUACUAGAAAUUAAUAUGGAGCUCAUAGUCAAUGAGAAAAGAUGAAAUCCUGAUCUUUUUUGACUUAGGAUUUUAUAAAUAAAGACAUCUGUAACUUUGACACAGCGACAAAAAACUGCGAUGAGACAUUCUUCAUGGAGUUAGUUUAUUGCCAUUUGUUGCUUUGACUUGGACAGGUGGAUCAGCACAAGAUCACAGUGGUGGAGCAUGAAGCCCUUCUUACACGAGAGGGAUCCUGUUAGAUCGAUGGGACACUAACACACAUGGUGGAGUUACCUUAGCUUUACUAAUGUUCGGGUUAAAAAUGAACAACCAUGGUUACAUCACAGUGUGUUACAAACCACAAGAAUGAAAGAAGUCAGUGAUCUUAUUACCGAGUCAACUGUGGUGUUUCAAGACAGUAUCGUCACCCGAAGCUUUGGACUCAUUCUCUCAUUAGAUGGUCCUCUCAUCGUUUGGUUCUACUGAAUCUGUAACUAAGUCUGGAAGCAGUGAACAAAGGCUAAUUGAGUUAAGUGGACACUGCAUUCUGAGUGUAAUCGGAGAUUGAUUUAGAUGCGAUUCUCCUGUGCGCUUCACCAUUCACUUUAAGGACUUUGUGUAACUUUUCCUCUAUAUCUCGACAAACUUUCAGCAAACCUUCAGUGCAAAGAUACUGUCGAGAACAUUUGGCAGAGCACAAGAAAUGACAUAAAACAUUUUUUUCUAGAUAAACAUUUCUACAUGUAAUCACUAUCUAAUAAUUUAUCUACUGACCAACCCAGGCUCUUAUUCGGACGGAACGAAAUGAAUCUUUCUGAUGCUGAAAAUUUGUGUUCGAUUUGACUGAUUUUUUGUUUGCAGUUUGACAAAAAUACUAUUUAGCUGAAAACGUGCUCACCCACAGGCCAUCCAACGUGUAGAUGCCGUCAGAAUAAGAGCUGAAAGAGCUGAUAAAAGCAUCACAAUUGUAAAACCGAAGUAAAAAACGGCUUGAUGGAUUGGUUUUUGACUAAUACAGCUUUUCACUUACAAGACAUUAAUUGAUGGACUGGUGUCGUGUGGAUUACUGUGAUGUUUUCAUCAGCUGUUUGGACUCUCAUUCUGACGGCACCCAUUCACUGCAGAGGAUCCAUUAGUGAGCAAAUGAUGUUAUGCUACAUUUCUCCAAAUCUGUUCCCUGAAGAAACAAACUCAUAUUUUGGAAGGCCCAAGAGUGUGUAAAUUAUUAGCAAUUUUUUGAGUGCGAUAUUACUUUAACUCAAAUUGGACUUAAUAGUUUGAUGGGUAAACGAGUAAGGCCUUUGGUAAACCAGUAUCUCUAAAUUGGAAGUGGUGAGGAGGUUAACUUAGUCCUCAGAUGUCUGAGGGGCACUUAGAUCAUUCUCACUGCUGACAGUCAUAAAGGCAUCAGCUCUAUGGGAAUGAAUGGAUGUGCCACUAAAAUGGACAUCUAUAUAUACACAGACACACACCCAUUUAGGGGGAAACUGUGGAAGGUUUUUAUUUAUUUUUAAAUGGAAAUAUUCUAGUUUUCCCCCAAACUUGUUGGUUUAUGGGUAUUUUACAGUGAGAUAUAAAAUUAUACAGUUUUAUGCAAAAGUUUUGGCACCCCUGAAUGAUCAUAAUUUAAAUACAUAAUCUGCUGGCCUUUCGAAACAGCAACUUCAUUUGGAUAUAUUUGAUACCUUGUGGAAACACUUUUUUAAAGUUCUAAAAUAACAUUUUUUGAAUCGAUAGAAACAAUACAAUGUGAUUCGGAACAAAAACACACAGGUGAAAAAAUGUGGGUAGCCAAUCAAAAAAUAGCAUCAGUUUUUGGUAGAGCCACCUUUUGCUGAAAUAACCACCUGUUCUUCUAGCCUCUGGUAAGGUAAAUGGUUUCACCAAUAUAAAUGGUCAUUGAAAACCAAAUCGAGCUGGAUUCUGGGUGGUCAGCAGAAAAUACUGGAGUUUUACACACACAAUCUAAAACAUUUAACAACCGCAGCACUUGAUAUUUUAAAUAAAAUAAUUUUGUGUGCUAUCUCUUGUAUCCUUUCUGGCAACUGCUUUGCAACAUUUCACUAAGAAUUCCCACUCCAUGCUAUCAUCUUUAUCAAAAGUACAUACAGCAUCAAAUGUUAAAAUAUAGCACACAUUUAUCAAUAUGUAUUUAUAUUUAUAUGCAUAUAAGCAAAAUAAAAGCCUUCACAAAAUAAAUCUCUGAUUUAUUUUACAGCAUGUAAAUCACAAGAAGAAAAAAGAAAAUGCUUUCUAACACGAUUAAAAAAGUGCUAGCAGAUUUUACAACAAUGUGCAAAUAUUUUCUGAGGCCUUACAUUAUGUAGUCUAAUUUGUACAUUCUGAUUACAUCUAUAAUGUCACAAUGAUUUAGUGUUUGAGUUGAUUCUCCUACAGGGCAGAAUUCCCACAGGUCGGAAUGAGGCUGGUGUGUCUUGUUUAAUCUUGGCUAUUUGUCUAUGGGUUCUCAACUUAAGACAAAUAAAGGCAAAGUUUGGCAACUACAUGUCUAUAGUUCACCUGCGGUCACAGCCUUUACAGCAGAACAUACACUGAG